UUGAUGAUUAUUUAGCCGAGCAAAGGCUUCCGCCAAUAUGUGGUUUUGAUAUAUUAGCUUUUUGGAAGGAGAGAAGUCGAAGAUGUCCCGAUCUUGCAAAAAUGGCUUGUGAUAUAUUAAGCAUUCCAAUAACCACUGUGGCAUCGGAAUCUGCUUUUAGCAUUGGUGCUAGAGUUUUGAACAAGUAUAGAAGCUCUUUGAAAGAUGACACGGUUCAAGCUCUCAUGUGCUCACGUAGUUGGUUGCAUGGUUUUGUAGAAUAUGACAGUGACAAUGAUGAAGAUGAAGAUAAGAAAGAAGUCAUUAGUUCAGAAGGACCAAAUCAAUGAUAGUGAACAAAUGAGAAUUGGAAACUAAUGGAGCAGCUAAUGUAACUGAUGUUAUUUUUGUUUAGUAAUGCAAUUGAUGUUAUUUUUGUUUAGUAAUGCUGGAUGGAACUUCUUUGGAGUUAGAAAAUUUAAUUUCCUUUUUAAAUGUAUUAAUUGAUACUAUGUUAAUGUGGAUCUAAAUAUUUAUUAUG